CAGCCGCCGCGGUAAUACGAAGGGUGCAAGCGUUACUCGGAAUUACUGGGCGUAAAGCGUGCGUAGGCGGCUUUUUAAGUCGGAUGUGAAAUCCCUGAGCUUAACUUAGGAAUUGCAUUCGAUACUGGGAAGCUAGAGUAUGGGAGAGGAUGGUAGAAUUCCAGGUGUAGCGGUGAAAUGCGUAGAGAUCUGGAGGAAUACCGAUGGCGAAGGCAGCCAUCUGGCCUAAUACUGACGCUGAGGUACGAAAGCAUGGGGAGCAAACAGGAUUAGAUACCCGAGUAGUCCCUGUCUCUUAUAC
rnacentral:rRNA from 1 species